UACGUAGGGGGCAAGCGUUGUCCGGAAUUAUUGGGCGUAAAGAGCGUGUAGGCGGUCCGGUCAGUCGGUUGUGAAAGUCAAGGGCUCAACCCUUGAAUGCCGGCCGAUACUGCCGGGCUAGAGUCCGGAAGAGGUGAGUGGAAUUCCUGGUGUAGCGGUGAAAUGCGCAGAUAUCAGGAGGAACACCGAUGGCGAAGGCAGCUCACUGGGACGGUACUGACGCUGAGACGCGAAAGCGUGGGGAGCAAACAGG
rnacentral:rRNA from 1 species